rnacentral:rRNA from 1 species
AUGCGGGUGAAGGGGGGUUUACAUACAACCAGGGCAAAGUGGUUUAUGAUUGAAUCUUAGAGGCAUUCUUAUCAUUUGGUAGAUCCAAAUCCAUGGCAAAUUUCGGGUUCACUAGGAGGUUUGGCAACCACCGUAGGAGGUGGGAUGUACAUGCACUCAUUUCAAGGGGGUGCAACACUUCUCAGUUUGGGCCUAAUAUUUGUCCUUUAUACCAUGUUCGUAUGGUGGCGAGAUGUCUACGUAAAUCUACAAAAGUUGUACAAUUAG